rnacentral:pre_miRNA from 1 species
UUUCUACUCCCUCCGUCCAAAAAUACUUGUCAUCAAAAUGGAUAAAAAUAGAUGUAUCUAAAACUAAAAUACGUCUAGAUACAUUUCCUUUUAUCCAUUUUGAUGACAAGUAUUUCCGGACGGAGGGAGUAUUUG